GACAUGGGGGUGAGUAAAUUAUCAGGAAAUUUUCAUUCAGAAGUGAACUAAUCCUUUAAUAAAGUGAUGAUGGUGAUUGGGGCAUUAGGUGUUGUGGUCAGAGUGAACUUUACUUUGACUUCCUCUGCUUGAUGUGGAAAGUUUUUUUUUUUUUUUGUCUUCCUGUCUGCUUCAGAGUUGCAGUAGUUUCAUCUUAAAAGUUGUGUGAAGGGAAGCAAAUUCGUACUGAAGUGUUUUAUUCACGACAACAUGAAGAUCAUUCAGUUUCAGCUCUAUGUAUUAAUCUGUUGUCAAGCAGCAGUAGCAGAUCAACUAACUGAUUUGGGAUCAAAUGUGACCAUAAACUGUGAUCUUGAUGAAAAUGAGGUUUAUUGGAUUUUACUGAAAACACCAGAUCCUCCAACAGUGAUUCUACGAUCAUUACCAACACCAUUAUCACCUUUUUACUCAAAUAAAACAUUCAGAAAGAAAUAUUCAGUGCAGUUUAAACAUUGUCUGGUUAUAAAUAAUGUGACAGCUGAUGAAUUAGGAGUUUAUUACUGUAUGAACACAGGCACACCUCUAAGAUUCAGCAACAGCACCAGACUGUACUUCACCGAAUCAACUCGACUAACUGAGUUUCACAAUCAUACAGUUGUGGAGUUUAUUGAACAGAAUCAAACACAAUGUCAGAUUAUUAUCAUCAUAUCUGGACUAAUGAUCGGGCUUCUGCUCAUUGUGCUGAUCGGUGAGUGUUCUUUAAGAAAAAAUGAAAUUAUCAAAUAAAAUACACUGUAGUCUAAAAUCAGUAUGAUGCUCUUCUCUAGAGGCAGGUGACACUAUAAUUGUGAAUUUUCCAUUAUUUCGUCUGUUGACUAUUAUUUAGCAUCUCAGUUUAAGAAAGAAUAAUAACUUCAGUAAAUAAUGAAACUGAUUUUAUUGUCUCAUUCUUAGUGUUUGCUGUUGGAAAAACAGAACGGUUGGAAAAACACAUUUAUGAUGCUGAUCUGCUGCAGACACGAGUGAUAUAUCAGCUUCAAGACCAAAACUGAUUAACAUCACAUUAAAUAAAUUAUGUGUCAGUUCUGUGACUAUAUAACAUGUUCAUAAAUAACAUGCAGUUUAUUGUGUGCUUAAUAUACUUGAUGUCAAGAAUAAAUUGCUUUAAACUUUAACAUCUUGUGUACUGGAGACUGGGGCUUGUUGUCACUCUUUACAGUAAAAAAGGUACAUUUUAGAAAGUCAGUUUGUGUACAGACUAGAAGAAAGAAAAAAAAAAUACAGUUUAGGACUGUAUGAACACAGACACAAAUUAAGUGUCAAUAACACAUUCAUUGGUAAAUGGUCAUUCAGUUAUCAAGUCUGCAAGACCUAGUUCAUUUAGUUGCAUUAAGCAAAAUAUGUUUGUAUUUUUCAAUAAAUUAACUGGGAAAAAACAA